CCCUGCCAUUUGUACACACCGCCCGUCGCUCCUACCGAUUGGGUGAUCCGGUGAGCUAUUCGGACCAUGCGCUUGUCAUCUUGGCUUGUGUGUGGGAAGUUUCGCGAACCUUAUCACUUAGAGGAAGGAGAAGUCGUAACAAGGUUUCCG
rnacentral:rRNA from 1 species